GACGAACGCUGGCGGCGUGCUUAACACAUGCAAGUCGAACGAGUGGCGAACGGGUGAGUAAUUCGUGGGUAACCUGCCCUCUUUUUGGGAUAAUCCUUGGAAACGGGGUCUAAUACCGAAUUAAGGGGGAUGGGCUCGCGGCCUAUCAGUUUGUUGGUGGGUGGAUGGCCUACCAAGGCGGUGACGGGUAGCCGGCCUGAUAGGGUGACCGGCCACACUGGGACUGAGACACGGCCCAGACUCCUACGGGAGGCAGCAGUAGGGAAUCUUCGGCAAUGGGGGGAACCCUGGCCGAGCACCGCCGCGUGAGUGAUGACGGCCUUCGGGUUGUAAAGCUCUGUUAAUCGGGACGCGGUACCGGAAUAGAAAGCCACGGCUAACUACGUGCCAGCAGCCGCGGUAAUUC
rnacentral:rRNA from 1 species